UACGUAGGCAGCGAGCGUUGUUCGGAGUUACUGGGCGUAAAGGGUGUGUAGGCGGUUGUUUAAGUUUGGUGUGAAAUCUCCCGGCUCAACUGGGAGGGUGCGCCGAAUACUGAGCGACUAGAGUGCGGGAGAGGAAAGUGGAAUUCCUGGUGUAGCGGUGAAACGCGUAGAUAUCAGGAGGAACACCGGUGGUGUAGACGGCUUUCUGGACCGUAACUGACGCUGAGACACGAAAGCGUGGGUAGCAAACAGG
rnacentral:rRNA from 1 species